CCUACGGGAGGCAGCAGUGGGGAAUAUUGCACAAUGGGGGAAACCCUGAUGCAGCAACGCCGCGUGAGUGAAGAAGUCAUUCGUGAUGUAAAGCUCUAUCAGCAGGGAAGAAAAUGACGGUACCUGAGUAAGAAGCCCCGGCUAACUACGUGCCAGCAGCCGCGGUAAUACGUAGGGGGCAAGCGUUAUCCGGAAUUACUGGGUGUAAAGGGAGCGUAGGCGGCAUGGUAAGCCAGAUGUGAAAGCCCGCGGCUUAACCGCGCGGAUUGCAUUUGGAACUAUCAAGCUAGAGUACAGGAGAGGAA
rnacentral:rRNA from 1 species